GGAAGCUUAGCAGUAGCAGCAGCACCUGGGUGCAGCCAGCCUUCAUACCUGCCUUGGGAAAACAUAAAAUAUAAAUCCCCAGUCAAAGGGAAACCAGGUAAUACUGAGUAUUAACUAAGAGAAACCAGUAAUUAAAGUGUAUGAAAGGACACAACACCAUUCCUGCACUUGAGAGGGAUAAAGUUAUUCAAGAUCAGCCAAGGAGGGAAGAGAGAAGAAAGACAUUCGUGACUUUUCACCAUUCGGGCACAUAAAAAGUGGAUGUCAAAUGGUAAAGGAGUGGAGUUCAGCUGCAUCUCCAUCCUGGCUUUGAAAGACACAUAUAACUACAGUGUUUCAUGUCAUUGAAGGUCCACAGGUCUCUCCUACCACUUCCAACAGAGACAAGACUCCUGCAGGUAUCAUCGAUAUAUGUGUUUUAGACGUUAGGGUACCAGAAGGCCCCCCCUAAACAUUAGAAUAUUAUUCCCUAAACCAGCCCAGCAGGAAACAGACAUGGGAAAUAAGUGCAAGUAGAUAUUGCCAUGAGAGCAGCAAGCCUUACUCCACCAAUUCUAAAAAUAAGAAGCUUAACUCUAUUACAUGAUGAUAAAACUGUUUCAUCUGAGACACCAAAUCUUCAGUCCCAAAGAUAGAAACAUUUUAUCUGCAUCUGUGAAAUGGCAAUGAUUCUACAAACGUGGAGACUCAUGGAGUUACAAUAGCUUUCUUCAAAGAUGCUGAAAGGCACAGAUGCCAAAACAAGAUCAGGGAAGCUGAAACUGAUAGUGCACAAGACUAUAUGAAUCAACCAGACAGCCCAGUGAUGCAGGGGUCAAACAGAUGGGAGGAAAAAAAGAAAAAAAACCUGCAGGCCAAGGGUAUUUGAACUGUAUGUGAACACAUUUACAUUCAGUGUGGCACUAUCCAUGUGUCACACACAAAACUGGGACCUGUGCUAGCCCUGAGGAAUGCUGCAAUAUUGCCUUAUGACAAGACAUUGACUCAUGACAUGGACACUUCUCUAAAUUAAGUGCUUUC
rnacentral:lncRNA from 12 species